rnacentral:rRNA from 1 species
AGAGGGCGUGAAACCGCUUAGAAGGAAACGAGAGGCGCCGCAUUUUUCCAGCGAGAUUCACCUGCUGUUUGCUGCUUUUCGGCUUCGACAGUAGGGCAUUUCUUGUUGGUACGCACCGAAAGCUGUGCUGGUUGUGGAAACGGUUCAGUAGGAGAAAGGCACUUAUAUGUGCUGCUUCCUUCGUUAUCGAGCCACAUUUCGGAAUAGCUUACAAGACGCACACGUAUUUGUGAUCAGUUGUGGUUGAUCUUUCGAUGAGACUUGUAUUUCAACUUCGUGUUGGGUGCGAGUUCUUAUUGAUUGUGAGGCUGAUUAACUGAGUUGUGUCGUUUCGGUGUGAAAGUCGGCCACCCUCCCGACCCGUCUUGAAACACGGACCAAGGAGUCUAACAUGUGCGCGAGUCACUUGGUUUGUAAAACCUAUAGGCGUAAUGAAAGUAUAGGCCGGCUUUGUCGGCUAACACACGAUCCGUGCAUGUAAACUGCGCGGCGCAGUGUGGUCCCGUCUUAGGUGCUCGUCACCGAGGCGGAGAUUGAGCGUACGUGUUGGGACCCGAAAGAUGGUGAACUAUGC